AUUUCUGUCUUUUAUUGUGCCCGUCUUUGCAUGAAUUGUUCCCUUGGUGUGUCAUUUUCUUAAAGAGUUCUCUAGUCUUUCCCAUCCUAUUGUUUUCCUCUAUUUCCAUGAAGCCUGAAUUUGAACAUACUUACAUACCUCUGUAGAACAUUUGGCUACUUAACCAUUUGAGAAAAUUGCAUAAAAAUCCAAUAGUGUUUAAUCUCAUAUUUUCUAAUAGUAAUAAAAUUCCCCUCUUCUGAAAUGAACUCCCCAGCAGAUCCAAUUUACUUCUGUUUUUUUUUUUUUUUCCUUUUAUUUUAGUUUAGCUAAGGCUUUCGGCCUUUAACACUAUUCACAGACCAGCAUAUCUCUCUCUCAUCUGUCUUCGUGUCUGUCUGUCUCUCUAUUGUUAUCUCCUUUCACAUGACACUACACUCUGUAAAACCCCCCUUGGAGAUGAGGCUGCUUCCUGUUAAAUGAUCCUGGGGUCUGGCAUGUAAAGACAACUGUGAACAAAGUAGUAUGUCCUGCAGUAAAGAUACAUAAAAGUCAUAAAAUACCAGAACAGCGGUUGGGGGGAGGGGGUUGCAUGUGUAUGAGUGGGAGAAGAGGGUGGUGAGUUUCGCCAUGUGCUGUUUCUCCCCAGAUCUGUUUUUUAAAAGUCACUUCAGGCCCCUUGGCCAAUCUGCACUUAAUUACCUGUUCCUGCCCUAUUUCCCAGGCAGCCAACCAGUGCGGCCAGGCUAUUCCCCAUUCCCUCUGUGAGGCCCAUCUCUGGGGCUCAGCUGAUGCAUUACAAAUGCCUUGUGGACUGCAUCUGAUGGGAUUUUCCCUAAGUGGUCAGGAUGCCAACCACAGUCCUGAUCGUUUUAAAUGGCUUGCGAUCUGAGGAUGUGGAGAUGCUCAUUAGCGGCCGCAGGAGCCUGCUAUCAUGAACAGAUUGAACCAAGAAGCUCUGUCAACCUGAGCAUUAAUAGAAGUAAGCGUGUCAAUAAAAGUUCCCAAGAUGAAGCCACAGAAUGAGGCACUUAUGGACGAUUAUAAACAUUUUGCCCUGUGGUGACUCUCCCCUAUCAAACCUACUCCUAGCCUGAUAAGCACUGCCUCUUUAGGGAUCAUUAAUUUCCUUGAAAAUUUAAACAGCUGUCACUUGUGAUCCUCCUCAGGUGUUCAUGUGGGAGAGAUUAGACUAUGUUUAUAAGCCAGUCUGUUCAUUAAGUGCCUGCCCAUGUGGAACCCCCUCCGCAGGCCUGCAGAUCACCCACAGAUAAUUGGGGGCCAUGGCAAAUUACACAGAGGUGCUGCAGGCAGCAAGAAUGGUGUGGCCUUAUUAAUAUCAGGUGGGGAGAGGGCACCGUUUUAAUGAUUUCCAAUAAACUAGAACAAGCCCUCAGAGCGUCACAAGCAUUUGGGCACUGACAGUUAAAAAGAAUACACAGGUUUAGGUUUCCUGUAGUUACUAUCAACUUCUUUCUCAUGAAAGUUUGAAAAACUCUUGGUUUAACCCUUUGUGAUGCAGCGAUUCUUCCCUGUUAGCUUCUAAGUUCAAGUUACUUCUGAUGCGUCUAAACCCUGAUACAUCUUCUGGUGGCUUCCAUGGUGGCGCAGUGCAGGCAUUCAAAAUUUACUGAGAAGGCUUUGUUUGGAAGAACUUUAAAUGUAUUGGACAGUUUGUUUUCCAGUCUGAUCAACAUAUAAAGAAAAGAUUGUGUGAGAUCUUAGUUCCCCGAUCAGAGAUUGAAUCCAUGCCCCCUGGAUUGGAAGCACAGAAUCUCAACCACUGGACCACCAGGGAAGUUCUGACAUCCUAUAUCUUGAAAGGUACCUCUGGCUUUCACUUCUUUGCUACCACACUUGGCUUAUGAAGUGUGCAGGAAGUAGUCCUUUGCACAAGGCUAUCUCUGUAAGAUUAACCUUGAAAUCUUUUCUUAUAUUCUAGUAGAGGCAGUGGCUUUAGCAAUGAUUAUAUUAUACAGUUGUUAAAGCAUUGUGUUAUUAAAGAAUUUUUGUACUAUUGAGAAACUGCCUUUUCUGUUUCCUCUUCCCUUUGAUAGCUGAUAAAAAGAGGUAGGUUUUUGUGUAUUUCAUUUAAACAAAAUCUGACAAAUACCAUAUAUUUUGCAUGAGGGCCACUACUCUGUUCAUCCAACUUACAGCAAGCUUCUUACACUUAACAAAUGUGAUCUGAUGCUUGUUCGGCCAAACCUUGAACAAUGUUUUCAAUGCACCUUCCAAAUCUUUUUGUUGAUAAAGGAAUGCUUUGUAGCUUGUUAAGUAUAUUAAUUUAUAUAAAUUAUAUGUAUUUUUACUAGGAAGAGAAAGUAUUUCCCCAGUGGUAUGUGGUUUCACUAUUAACUCUGGAGAAGGGAAUGGCAACCCACUCCAGUACUUUUGCCGGGAGAAUCCCAUCAACAGAGGAACCUGGAGGGUUACAGUCCAUGGGCUUGCAAAGAGUGACUAACACUACUACUUUCACUAUUAACGAAGGAACCACAGAAGUGGAUCCUAAAUACUUAUCAUUAAAUUUAGUAAAAUGUUAUAAAUUGCUGUCUUGAGAAUGGCAUGGCUUUAAACAUGUGUUGAAAAAAAUGAUUAUGCCAUAUUUUACAUCCUUACAUUGUAAGCUACUAUCCUAAUGUACAAUGUUCCCUUAGCAUACGACUCAUUGAUGAAAAUCGUGGCAGUUCAUUGUUAAAAAUAAUGAAAGUAAACUCAUAUUUCAAAUAGUGUUCUUGAUAAUUUUGAAGCCUUCAAACUGAAGUCUUUUUAUACAAAACUAGAUGAUUUUAAAAAAUAUAUAACAUGACUAAAAAUUUGUAAUGGGAGCUAAAAUAUUAAUUUUGCCAUUUUCUGGUGGUUUGCUUGGAUUUAAAUUACUAGCAUUUUUCAACCCAUGGGAUAUUUGCAGAAACUUUUUAAUCUACUUGACAUUUUAGAGAGUACAUUCAUUCAAAACCCAAUAAUUUUUUAGUUCAGUUAACUGGAUCCACAAAAAUUACAGCAUAAUGGAACACACUGGAAACCAGCACAUGAGACAGUAUAUUACUGUUAUGCCUGAUGUGUUUUGAAAUGAGUUCCUUUCUUAUUUUUGGAUGUCUUGCUCAUUGCAUGUGGCAGAAGUCUGCAUACAGACUGAAUAAGGGGAAUGGUGUUGAUCCAUGUAAUAAAAUGUGGCUACUUUCCUGUUGCUUAGAUAAAAAAUCAGUUCAGUACAGUUCAGUUGCUCAGUCAUGUCCAACUCUUUGUGACCCCAUGGACUGCAGCACGCUGAGAUUCCCUGUCCAUCACCAACU